UACGGAGGGUGCGAGCGUUGUCCGGAAUCAUUGGGCGUAAAGGGCGCGUAGGCGGCCACCGCAAGUCGACUGUGAAAUCUCCGGGCUUAACCCGGAAAGGUCAGCCGAUACUGCGGGGCUAGAGUGCAGAAGGGGCAACUGGAAUUCUCGGUGUAGCGGUGAAAUGCGUAGAUAUCGAGAGGAACACCUGCGGCGAAGGCGGGUUGCUGGGCUGACACUGACGCUGACAGCGCGAAAGCUAGGGGAGCGAACGGG
rnacentral:rRNA from 1 species